UGGGCUCCGGCUGUCACUGCAGCUCAUUGAGGAUAUAAUUACUAUUUACAAGACAUGUCAAUGCAUCCACAAGUACCCCAUAUCUGACACUAAAAAGCUCUACAUUCUUCUGUUUUUGUGGAAGAAAACAGCAGUGUGAAGACGACAUUUAUGAUGAAUAAGCAAGAAAUGGAGUCGCUGCUGGAAAAGAGCCGUGUUUCAUAUACACACUAAAACAUUUGUAUAACAUUAUGACUGCUAUGUGAACUAUACUUUUUAAACAAAUAUCAGUCCCCUUAUUAAACACUUUCGUACAUUUAUUCAGCUCUUUCUUUUACUGAAACCAAACCGUCGAGUGAAGAUGACCUAACAAGCUCGGCUCACUACAAAAACUUGUCGACAUAAACUGUGACCCACCUGCUGGGUCAAAGUGUGUUGGAGAGAAAAAAUCGGACGGCUAGCCGCAGAAAAAAAUGUCAACAAUCCUCUAGCAGCGGAGGAUCGACAGACGCUAUAAAUCGAGCACAGAAACAUCGAUGCAGCAAAGGCAAAUCAAUCGAUUCACUAUUUACAGACUAACUUGCGAAGAAAAAAGUGGAAGAAAAGAACAGGUGGAACUAUGCUGUGACUAAUUAUCUCUGCAGUGCGCAAUUUUGCUAACUGGAUAGGUUCUUCAUGCUGCUCCUCCAAGAAGGCCACGACAGCAGCGGGAUGUCCGUACCAGUGUGAAGGACAGAAGGUGUGGACAAUCUCUAGUGAUGAAACCCCAUCCGGUCAAAAUCCUUCUUAAUUCCUCCCAGAAGAGACACUCACAUUCACUCGCAGCAUGUUGAUCUCUGCUGUGUCUCUCCUCUGUGUUGCUCUGUGCUUGUUAUAAUGAUGACUUGUCUGAAAACUCCUCUUUGGGAAGCUGGAUAAUGUCUGACAGCUGACAGGUGCAGCAGUGGCUUUUUUGGGGGGGGAUGGGGGGACAAAUAUAUUUAUUUGCCCUUGUCUCACCCCAUCUCCCUCUCCCUCUGACAAUAAUCUUCACAAAGUUACUCAAAAAUAAAGUAAAUAAUAACAGUGAUAAUAAAAUAACAUAGACAUUAUUUGGUAAUAAAAAGUAAAGUAAGUAAACAACCUAAUCAAAUAAUAAUAACAAUAACUUUUAAAACACAUAAAUAAAUGUGUCAAAAUUUAUUGCAUGCAUGUAAGAAGCAUAUUACAUGUAAAAUGGUUAUUAAAUCUUAACAUUGAGUUACAAAGCUGGUGCACAAAAGAAGCUUUACAUUAUCCGCUCACAUCUUUCAUACUGACUCAUCAAGGUCUCAGCUAGUUGUUUUCCAAAAAAUGAAGGAAUUUCCCUCAUAUUUAAUAAAUAGUAUGAGGCCUCCCUUUGAUACUAAAGGUUAAUUUCUCUAAGAUAAGACACUGAGAUAAGUUUUUCGACCACUGACUGAUAGAGGGGUUUUCUAGGUUUUUCCCAAAAGACAGAUAUUUGUAUGUUUAGCUUGAAGAACAGAGAAAACAACGAUUGUUUUCUUGGUGUUAUAAAGCCUCGGAGUCACAGAGAACAGAUCAAGAAUACACAGUUUUGGACAUUCUGGUAGUUUGGCUGAAACUAUUUGUGAUAAUGUGUCAAGUACAUCUUUCCAAAAUUCUUUGAUCCCUGGGCAAACCUCAUAAACUGUGAACCAGAGUGUUGUGUUCAGCAUUGCAUUUCACACAUCUGGAUCUGGAUUAUUGGCAUCAGAAUGGUGUAAUAGAGACAGAGUCACUAUUGUAUUUUUUGUAUUUUCUCUCUUCUUCAAGCUGAACAUGAUCUAUUUGUACUGCAGAAGUCUAAAUCUGGUGUUAGUUUGAACCUGGGCUUCAUGGCAUACAUAUCUGCUCCAAAUCAUCUUUUGUUAUCUCUGUUUCCAAGUCACGACUCCAAGCAAGUCUCCUAUUGUCUGACGACUCCUCUGAUUUAGUUUUGAGUAGGUCAUAGAUUAACGACACUCGGCCAACAGAGUGAUGCACUCUCACUUGUGUUAUUGCAGCCUAAUUUGUUCAGCAGCGGCUUACUUCUGUCAUCUGUGUAAUAAAAAUACAAUGUGGUCCCACAGCAUAUUAAUCCAGUGAAUUGAAUAAAUAGUUGUUAAGAUCA